UGUCUUUUUCGCAUACAUACUAGAUGCAAAUGGUAACAUUUAAAUUUCUUUAAGUUGACAGAGUGAUAAAUUUACGAGAAUUGAAUCGCAUAAUACAUUUCUCAAAAUUUUCCUGGUAAGGAAUCACGUUUCAAGGUUAUAUGUUAUAUGCGUCUUGAUAGGUAUCUCAUGAGCGAAGUAUUGUAGUAUCUACUUAGUAUGGGAAAGAUUGAGGUUAUCGAGUGGAUUCACAUAACCGUGACGUCGUCCAGAUCCGUUGAAAUAGCACUUUAGGAAAACAUAGGUCAUGCAAAAGGAAGUCCGAAAAGAGGGUUUCGUAUUAUGCGACGACGACCGUCUUCCACUCAAAUUGUUACUCCGUUUAGCCAUGAUUGGCAUUGAUCAUUUAUUUAUGAGUAUAAAACACGCGAGAAUGUCUUCAAACGGCGCAUCCCAGAAAUUGUCAGCGAACCACCACCUUCGUGACUAAAAUCCACGAGAGAAAAUAUGGCCGCCCCAAAGACCGCCACCAGGGCGCCAGGUUUCUCUGGAAUAUGCGCUUGUCGCGCCUGCCCACGUGACACAUCGUAUGCGUUCGCUGCCUUAAAGUUGGCGUGUGGUACUGCUAUCUCUUCUUAAGAAAGCUUUCCUUAUUUUUUAUUCUUUAUUGAAUUAUGAGUGUUCGAGGCGUACCUCAUUUCACUACAUGUAUCAGUAUUGCAAUUAGUAAAUAUCUAUUUUCUUAACAUAUAACAUUUUCUUUCAUAGUCCAUAAUAGGCUUUUGUUUGUAGCCUAAGAUUAUAUUAUACAUUAUUAUUUAGUAAUUAAUUAAUUACUAAUUCUAAUCUAAAGGCCUAUAAUAUUCUGAUAUUAAUAUAAUAAACCAUAUAAAUAUUUAUAAAUAUUUUAACAGAGUAGAAAAAGAUAUAUAUAUAUAUUGUAUAGUAUAUUGUAUAGUAGUGUAUAUAUAUAUGCCAUCUCUCUCUCUCUCUCUCUCUCUCUCUCUCUCUCUCUCUCUCUCUGUAAAUAUGUAUAUAUAUGUAUAUGUGCACAGACAUGUAUUGUACGUACACACAUUCAUAUGCAUACAAGAACAUGCACUCAUAUGUAUGCUCACGCACAAGCGUGUCUAUUAACAAUAAGUAAUAUGUAACGUUUUGUAAGUAUGAAUUUCGUAGAUAAAAUAUUAAGAACGCUUUCAUUCAAAAAAAGAAAGUUCACAAUUUUAUAUCCUGUCUAUAGAUGGCGCUGUAACUGCUUGGGGUCGGUCGAUACAUUAUCGACACUUUAUAACCUGUAUCGGCUAUAUCCAUUUUGUUUAUUUUGUUGUAAGUAACAUAUAGAGUUGUCGAAAAAAAUUAUAAUAGCAUUUACAUACUGUAUAAUUAGUUAGGUUCAAGUAUAUUAAAUUUCGCAUUAUUUAAUAGUAUUUUGAAAUGAAAUGCACAGAAUUUGGUAAGAAAAAUGCCUCGUUGGAAAAUAAAGAUAUGUGCAAAUACUAUUUGUAA